rnacentral:rRNA from 1 species
AACCGAGUCUUAAUUGGGCGUUAAGUUGCAGGGUAUAGACCCGAAACCCGGUGAUCUAGCCAUGGGCAGGUUGAAGGUUGGGUAACACUAACUGGAGGACCGAACCGACUAAUGUUGAAAAAUUAGCGGAUGACCUGUGGCUGGGGGUGAAAGGCCAAUCAAACCGGGAGAUAGCUGGUUCUCCCCGAAAGCUAUUUAGGUAGCGCCUCGUGAAUUCAUCUCCGGGGGUAGAGCACUGUUUCGGCUAGGGGGCCAUCCCGGCUUACCAACCCGAUGCAAACUGCGAAUACCGGAGAAUGUUAUCACGGGAGACACACGGCGGGUGCUAACGUCCGUCGUGAAGAGGGAAACAACCCAGACCGCCAGCUAAGGUCCCAAAGUCAUGGUUAAGUGGGAAACGAUGUGGGAAGGCCCAGACAGCCAGGAUGUUGGCUUAGAAGCAGCCAUCAUUUAAAGAAAGCGUAAUAGCUCACUGGUCGAGUCGGCCUGCGCGGAAGAUGUAACGGGGCUAAACCAUGCACCGAAGCUGCGGCAGCGACGCUUAUGCGUUGUUGGGUAGGGGAGCGUUCUGUAAGCCUGCGAAGGUGGCCUGUGAGGGUUGCUGGAGGUAUCAGAAGUGCGAAUGCUGACAUAAGUAACGAUAAAGCGGGUGAAAAGCCCGCUCGCCGGAAGACCAAGGGUUCCUGUCCAACGUUAAUCGGGGCAGGGUGAGUCGACCCCUAAGGCGAGGCCGAAAGGCGUAGUCGAUGGGAAACGGGUUAAUAUUCCCGUACUUGGUGUUACUGCGAAGGGGGGACGGAGAAGGCUAUGUUGGCCGGGCGACGGUUGUCCCGGUUUAAGCGUGUAGGUGUGUGUUCCAGGUAAAUCCGGUUCACUUUAACACUGAGGCGUGACGACGAGGCACUACGGUGCUGAAGCAACAAAUGCCCUGCUUCCAGGAAAAGCCUCUAAGCAUCAGGUAACAUCAAAUCGUACCCCAAACCGACACAGGUGGUCAGGUAGAGAAUACCAAGGCGCUUGAGAGAACUCGGGUGAAGGAACUAGGCAAAAUGGUGCCGUAACUUCGGGAGAAGGCACGCUGACACGUAGGUGAAGUGAUUUACUCAUGGAGCUGAAGUCAGUCGAAGAUACCAGCUGGCUGCAACUGUUUAUUAAAAACACAGCACUGUGCAAACACGAAAGUGGACGUAUACGGUGUGACGCCUGCCCGGUGCCGGAAGGUUAAUUGAUGGGGUCAGCGCAAGCGAAGCUCCUGAUCGAAGCCCCGGUAAACGGCGGCCGUAACUAUAACGGUCCUAAGGUAGCGAAAUUCCUUGUCGGGUAAGUUCCGACCUGCACGAAUGGCGUAAUGAUGGCCAGGCUGUCUCCACCCGAGACUCAGUGAAAUUGAACUCGCUGUGAAGAUGCAGUGUACCCGCGGCAAGACGGAAAGACCCCGUGAACCUUUACUAUAGCUUGACACUGAACAUUGAGCCUUGAUGUGUAGGAUAGGUGGGAGGCUUUGAAGUGUGGACGCCAGUCUGCAUGGAGCCGACCUUGAAAUACCACCCUUUAAUGUUUGAUGUUCUAACGUGGACCCGUUACCCGGGUUGCGGACAGUGUCUGGUGGGUAGUUUGACUGGGGCGGUCUCCUCCUAAAGAGUAACGGAGGAGCACGAAGGUUGGCUAAUCCUGGUCGGACAUCAGGAGGUUAGUGCAAUGGCAUAAGCCAGCUUGACUGCGAGCGUGACGGCGCGAGCAGGUGCGAAAGCAGGUCAUAGUGAUCCGGUGGUUCUGAAUGGAAGGGCCAUCGCUCAACGGAUAAAAGGUACUCCGGGGAUAACAGGCUGAUACCGCCCAAGAGUUCAUAUCGACGGCGGUGUUUGGCACCUCGAUGUCGGCUCAUCACAUCCUGGGGCUGAAGUAGGUCCCAAGGGUAUGGCUGUUCGCCAUUUAAAGUGGUACGCGAGCUGGGUUUAGAACGUCGUGAGACAGUUCGGUCCCUAUCUGCCGUGGGCGCUGGAGAACUGAGGGGGGCUGCUCCUAGUACGAGAGGACCGGAGUGGACGCAUCACUGGUGUUCGGGUUGUCAUGCCAAUGGCACUGCCCGGUAGCUAAAUGCGGAAGAGAUAAGUGCUGAAAGCAUCUAAGCACGAAACUUGCCCCGAG